ensembl:lncRNA
GGUGCUAAAGCUGCGAUCCCUGGAGACUAGCCCCCAGGAAACCACUGUGGGUGUGUGCAGUACCAGAGGGUCAGGAGUAAGUAAGUGUUCCGCGUAGAAACAUCCCAGCCAUGCAUCAAGGGAGACAGAAUCUUCCAGAACUCAAACCUCAAGAGCACUGAGGACCUCAGCGGUAACAACAAACCUCCUCCUUCUCAUCACGGACGAACUGAGCCCUUGCAUUCGUCUCCCUGGAUCGCUUACAACAAUCACAGAGACAGGCUAUCGACUCCAUGCUACAGAUAGGGCCUGCAGUCAGACCCUUCUCACACGAGCUCCCAGUGUCAGAGCUUCAAGUGGAAGGGAUGGCAAGGCCAUUUUCAUCUGAGGCUGUACCUCUCUGAAGGACCUACGGAGGAGGAACCGCAUCAACUCUGGAGUGCAGACUCUUGGGGACUAUGGAAACGAUGCUAGGCAAAAAGCAAAUUUGAGCGAUUUCCUUAUUGGAGUUCAAAACGGAUUGUAAAGCAGCAGAGACAACUUGCAACAUCAACAAUACAUUUGGCCCAGGAACUGCUAAUGAACGUAUGGUGCAGUGGUGGUUCAGGAAGUUUUGCAAAGGAGACGAGCACCUUGAAGAUGAGUGUAAUGGCCGGCCAUCAGAAGUUGACAACAACCAACUGAGAGCCAUCAUCGAAGCUGAUUCUCUUACAACUACACAAGAAGUUGCCAAAAAACUCAGUGUUGACUAUCAUGGUCAUUCAGCCUUUGAAGCAAAUUAGAGAGGUGAAAACGUUUGAUAAGUGGGUGCCUCAUGAGCUGACCAAAAAUCAAAAAAAUCGUUUUGAAGUGUCGUAUUCUUACUAGAUGCAACAACAGCAAACCGUUUCUUGAUUGGAUUAUGACAUGUGACAAAAAUGGGAUUUUAUACAAUAACCAGCUCAGUGGUUGAACCAAGAAACUCCAAAGCACUUCUCAAAGCCAAACUUGCACCAAAAAAAGGUCAUGGUCACUGUUUGGUCAUUUGCUGCUGGUCUGAUCCAUGAAAGCUUUCUGAAUCCCAGUGAAACCAUUACAUCUGAGAAGUAUGCUCAGCACAUUGAUGAGAUGCACGGAGAAGGGAAUGGCUAUACCCACUCCAGUAUUCUUGCCUGAGGAAUUCUAUGGACAGAGGAGUCUGGUGGGCUACAGUCCAUGGGGUCGCAAAGAGCGGAUACAACUGAGCAACUUUUACUCACUCUUUCACAGAAAACUGCAACACCUGCGACCAGCAGUGGUCAACAGAAAGGGGCCGAUUUUUCUCCACAACAACCCCUAACCACACGUCACACAACCGAUGCUUCAAAAAUUGAACAAACUGGGCUAUGAAGUUUUGUCUCACCUGCCAUAUUCACCUGACCUCUUGCCAACCGACCACUACUUUCUUCAAGCAUCUCGAGAACUUUUUGAAGGAAAAACUCUUCUGCAGCCAGCAGGAGGCAGAAGACGCUUUCCAAAAUUUCCCUGAAUCCGAAACACGAAUUUUUAAGCUAUAGGGAUGAACAAACUUAUUUCUCGUUGGCAAAAAUGUGUUGAUUGUAAUCGUUCUUAUUUCGAUUUAAAAAGAUGUGUUUCAGCCUAUUUAUAAGGCUGAAUUGAUUUAGAAGGCUGAAUUUAAAUUGAUUUAAAAUUUAAAAUUCAACAUCCGAAACCACAAUUACAUUUGCACCAACCUAAUACAAACGCACAAACUUCACACAGAUGGCGGUAUUAUACCUAGUACCACAUUUUUUUUUUUGGCAGGGGGAAGAAGGAUAGUCCAGGAAGUCCCAGUCAAUGAUAACAAAACAUUGAGCAAUACUUUUAAAGUCUUCAAUUGGGUCUCCCUCCUGAAAGACUGAGAGUCACAGAGACAGACAACUGCCUCCUGACAUUUAAAUGAAGCAUUGCUGGACAGUUGCUUUUUAAACAUCUAUAAAGCUUACCCUCGGAUUUAAUAAAGAUCAAUACAUUUCUGUAAAAAAAAAAUACAUGAAAUAAGUUUACACUUCACUAAACAUUCAAAUAAAACCAAGAAAUAGCUAUAUCCAUGCUGGAACAUUGAGUAUUACCAAAAUUAUGAAGAAUGUAAGGUCAUGAUAAUCCCAGAAAAAUUUCGUACAAAUGAAGAAUGCAGAUUCUGCCUUAUGCUAUCUCAGGUUUAGAGCUAAGAAGGCUUCCUAGUCUCUUAAGCCUUUGAUCUAUUUUAGGAUCUCUGACCCUUUAUUCCUGGGAGUUAAUGACACUUCUGAGUACUGCUGCUGCUGCUAAGUUGCUUCAGUCGUGUCCGACUCUGUGUGACCCCAGAGACGGUAGCCCACCAGGCUCCCCCAUCCCUGGGAUUCUCCAGGCAAGAACACUGGAGUGGGUUGCCAUUUCCUUCUCCAAUGCCUGAAAGUGAAAAGUGAAAGGGAAGUCACUCAGUCUUGUCCAACUCUUUGCGACCCCACAGACUGCAGCCUACCAGGCUUCUCUGUCCAUGGGAUUUUCCAGGCAAGAGUACCGGAUUGGGUUGCCAUUGCCUUUUCCGAAACAAUUAUGUCUCGAUGCCAACCUAGUGACACAUUUAAUGUGCUAGUUUGUGGUGGAAGGGGUAAAUCUCAUUGACAGUUUUUCAUAAAGGGGAUUCCCUGCUGGCUCAGCAGUGAGAAUCUGCCUGCCAAAGCCAGUGACAUAGGUUCAAUCCCUGGGUCGGGAAGAUCCCCU